rnacentral:lncRNA from 1 species
UGAAGAUGGAGGAAGAGAGGCGGCGGUGGGGUGGUGAUGCUGAUGAUCACUGUGUCUCUGUGUCUGUGUGUAAGGAUUAAAGAAGAAAGAAACAAAGCAUGAGUUUUGAUGGGUUCUUGAUGGAUUUUAGAGAGAGAAAGAGAGGAGACAGAGAGAGAGAGUAAUGAAAACCAGAGGCCACGCCUGCUGCUAGAAACGGAGAGAAAACACAGAGCACAAAACAAAGCAAAAAGAUGAGAGAACAGAGAGAGAGAGGGGGAGAGUGAGUGAGUCCAACCCCUUUUUUCACACGGUCUUAUAAUAUUUAAUUAAUUAAUUUUUUAAUAAAAAAUAGUAUAACGAAACUGAUUAAAAAUUUUAUUUAAAACUACAAAUAAAAUUAUUUUGUAUUAUUUAAAAAAAUAUUAAUGAGGAUGGUGACCACGACCAUCCGAUGCUUGGAAGCCAUGUGCUAUAAAUUUGGAAUUUGAAGGGAAAGCUGUGGUAGAUAGGUUGUAGGGGUGAAGAUGGCAGGGAAGGGAGGAAGGAGGAGGCGCUAUGGUUUCUGUGGGUUGAGAGGUAGAAGAGGGUGAGAUUGAGAGAGCUGAGAGCACAAGGAGAUGGAUCUUUUUUUUUUCUUUUUUUAAUCUUUUUCAGAGUUAACUAUUAAAUUAGAGUUGGUAGUUGACAGGUGUCAAGCUCUAAGAAAGGCCACAAUGAUGUCACAAAGACUUUUGGGUGCAAAAAAUUUCAACUCCAUCAAAGCCGGCCUUCUUUUUUUUUCUGCAAAUAUCAUCAUGACCCUUUUAUCUUUUCAGCAAUAUCAUCAUUAUAUUAAAUACUUUUCUUUUCUUCACCAUCUUCUCUCAUCAACUUGUCCACUCUAUUUACCCACAUCUAGAAUCAAAGUGAUUCUAAACAUGUCCAAUUUUGAAUGUCAAAUUCUAAUUCCUUGCGUGUAUGAUACCAUGCCAAGUUCGAGUUAGUCAAAACAUUUAGCCUAUGUUUUGGGUGAGGAAAUUCCAAGUUCCAAGAGAUUGAGCGCAUUUAAAACAAAAUGUUAGAUGAAGGGGUUAGAAAAGCCUUCUUCAUGAGCAUUGCAAAAGUAUAGAAAUGAACCAAAUCGAGCCACAUUCUCAGGAUGUACAAAUGAAUCAAACCGAGCCAAAGCAUUCACAACUCUAUUUAUUAAACGGACCUAACAGUGGCACACUCGCAGUUCAUACAAUUUGUUUGCCUAUGCGAGUGACUUCAAAAUUUUGGAGUAAGCAAUCAAACCACAUAGUUUCCAACUUUUUACACAUGUGGCAUGUGGCAUGUGGCAUGUGGUGUGGAUUACAGAUAUACAUCAAAAUACAAGGCUCUGCUGACUUUAGUAUGCAAGUGGGGGUCGUCUGAUUUGGUAGGGUCAAUUGGGCGCGUUUCGCCAAACCAGAUUGGCGUGAGUUACGGAGCAGGUGGGUGUAAAAUGUAUUUGGCCUCGCAAGUUUCGCAGCAACAUCCGUGCACGCUUGUCACACACCUAAGUCCCAGUAACCAAGACUAGAUUGUAACACCACAUUUUUAGGGGAUUGGAUCCUCUCCUGAGCUAAUGGAGAGGAUCCUCCUGAUCAACUAUUGUGGACCGUUGGAUGAAAAUCCAACGGUUACAAAUAAAAAGAUCUUUUUAAAGUUAUAAUAAUUAUAGCCGUUGGAUUUUCAUCCAACGAAAAUCCAACGACCCGUAAUUGUUGGUCAAAGGGAUCUUCUCCAUUAGCUCAGGAGAGGAUCUAAAUCCCAUUUUUGGUGCGCUUUAGAUCGCAAGUUUUCUAGGAGAAAUUUUUAGUUGGAGUAGGAACACAAAUGGUACAUCACGUGUUGUUAUGCAAGUGGUGGAAAAUUUUAAUUUUUAAGUUAUUAACCUUUUGACACAUAUAAUCCACAAUUUCUAUAGGAACGUGUGAUAUAUCACCUCGUGUGACGAUCAUCCUGAAAAAUCUCUCAUUUUCUAGGAACGUUUAACUUUAUCAUUUCUAACUUCUUUUACAUUUGAAGAAAACAAUAAUACUUUUGAGGGUGAUUCUCACUGUUUCGUGUGAGUGAUUCCCAAUCGUGUUCAAAUUUCGUGCCGCCGAUCCUAGCUGCGGCUGGGAUCGGUGGGUGUUCCUUUUCUUCUCCCCUUCGCUGCUUUUUCCCCUGCUUUUUGGAUCGAUCUAACCUCUUCUCAUCCCACCGGUGUAUCUCCUCCUCCUUCCUCUAAUUCCCAACCUUUAGUCAAGUUUUGCCGCGAUUUGUUGCGGUUUGUCGAGUCGGUAAGUACAGAUCUGGUGCUUCCACUGGAUCGGGUGUUUCUAACACCACCACCUUCUCUUUGCGGUCUGCCUUUGUUGGUAAUGUUGCUCGUGGAUUUCCACGCGCUUCUUUCACUUUGUUGCAGGUUCUUUAGAAUCUGUGCUCUACUCGGACUGAAUAUUGGAAUUUUGGUUGUGGCUUGUAAUUGGCUGUUGUGUGGAUGCCUCUAACCCUCCUCUUAGAGCAGUUCCACCAUGGGCUAUUGCCAGUUGGACUGGCUUUGGAACAGGGCCAGAUAACCCGAGCGAGAUGCUCCAGCGUGUGCUGGCGAUGCACCGCCUUCGCCCCCACGCACUCGCGAUCCCCCUCCUUCCACUCGCGCGCCCAGAUCGAACGAUUUGGGAUUUGUUUUGGGGGGAAAGAGGAAAGAGAAAGAGAGAGAGAGAGAGAGAGAGAGAGAGAGAGAGAGAGUUUAGUUUGGGAGCGGGGAAGAUCGGGACCGUUGAUGGAGGCUGAGCUGGGAGGGAUGGUGAAGAUGGAGAAAGAGAGGCGGCGGUGGGGUGGUGAUGCUGAUGAUCACUGUGUCUCUGUGUCUGUGUGUAAGGAUUAAAGAAGAAAGAAUCAAAGCAUGAGUUUUGAUGGGUUCUUGAUGGAUUUUAGAGAGAGAAAGAGAGGAGACAGAGAGAGAGAGUAAUGAAAACCAGAGGCCACGCCUGCUGCUAGAAACAGAGAGAAAACACAGAGCACAAAACAAAGCAAAAAGAUGAGAGAAGAGAGAGAGAGAGG